GACGGAGGAUGCAAGCGUUAUCCGGAAUGAUUGGGCGUAAAGCGUUCGUAGGUGGCUGUUCAAGUCUGCUGUCAAAGACCGGGGCUUAACCCCAGGAAGGCAGUGGAAACUGGACUGCUUGAGUGCAAAUGGGGUAGGGGGAAUUCCCAGUGUAGCGGUGAAAUGCGUAGAGAUUGGGAAGAACACCGGUGGCGAAAGCGGCCUGCUGGACCACAACUGACACUGAGGCACGAAAGCUAGGGGAGCGAACGGG
rnacentral:rRNA from 1 species